GUGCACCAGGCGCGAAUCUUUCGCAAUGGGGGAAACCCUGACGAAGCGACGCCGCGUGCAGGAUGAAGGCCUUCGGGUUGUAAACUGCUGUCGGCUGGGAAAAAAUACGAUGCGUGAAUAACGCAGCGUUUUGAUGGUACCAGCAAAGGAAGCCACGGCUAACUCUGUGCCAGCAGCCGCGGUAAUACAGAGGUGGCAAGCGUUGUUCGGAUUUACUGGGCGUAAAGGGUUCGUAGGCGGUUCGGAAAGUCAAAUGUGAAAUCCCACAGCUCAACUGUGGAACUGCAUUUGAAACUCCCGGGCUAGAGUAUGAGAGGGGUAAAAGGAAUUCCCGGUGUAAGGGUGAAAUCUGCAGAGAUCGGGAGGAACACCAGUCGCGAAGGCGUUUUACUGGCUCAUUACUGACGCUCAGGAACGAAAGCUAGGGUAGC
rnacentral:rRNA from 1 species